rnacentral:rRNA from 1 species
CAAUAGCGUAUAUUAAAGUUGUUGCAGUUAAAACGCUCGUAGUCGGAUUUCGGGGCGGGGCCGCCGGUCUGCCGAUGGGUAUGCACUGGCGGUCGCGUCCUUCCUUCCGGAGACUGGCCCUACUCUUAACUGAGCGGGGUCGGGAGACGGAUCGUUUACUUUGAAAAAAUCAGAGUGUUUCAAGCAGGCAGCUCGCUCUUGCAUGGAUUAGCAUGGGAUAAUGAAAUAGGACUUUGGUGCUAUUUUGUUGGUUUCGAACACCGAAGUAAUGAUUAACAGGGACAGUCAGGGGCACUCGUAUUCCGCCGAGAGAGGUGAAAUUCUCAGACCAGCGGAAGACGAACCACUGCGAAANCANNNGCCAGGGAUGUUUUCACNGA